ensembl:processed_transcript
UCAGUGUGCAGAGCUCACUCAGACUUUAACAGUGACUUCCCCGGGCUGUCUGAGCUGGGCGUGCAUGGGCACCCUCAAGGGACCUGGCAGAGCCUGGACAUUACUCACUGUCAGGCCAACAAGUGAGAACAUGCAGAAGAGAAAGCGAGUCGGUGGAUGUGGGUGAGAAGAAACCUGACAACUCCCUGUUUCCAGAAGAGACGGUCGAGCCAAGACGGAAGUGAGGGGCUUCUCAGAACCUGCACACUCCCCAAGAGUAGCUGAAUUGUUCAGUGGGAGCAUCCGGCACGGCCACUUGGAACUGGUUUGAAAUAUAUCCCUGGGAAGCCCUGAAAGCCUGCCACUCUGAGGUUGCUGAACUCAGGCUGCCAGAGUCAACCUCCAGGAGACCACACAAGUUCCCCCUGAAGGAAAUGGUCAUUCAAAUCCUGCCUCUGACCGUAACAGAUCUGUCUGCUUCCAAUCACAGACUCUCUCAUCUGUACCAUCUAACACGGGCCCCAAGCCUAGGGAAUGUCCCUGCCCAUAGCUACAGUGUCUCUUCUCGUCUCAGUGAACUAAUCGAGAUAGCGUCUCAUAGGCUCAGCUAGAGACUCAUCUCACUGAGACGGCCCUCAUAGAUGCUCUCUGACCAAGUCAUUCUAGACGCCAUCCUCUUGACCAUUGAUCCUGACGAUCACACCGAUCAGCAGGAGGGUAAAGAUCUAAGCCCAGUUUCUGAGACACCAGAAGGGUGGGGGAGACAGAGUCCACACUACUCUGGCUGACAAGCAGCCUCGGGGAAAAGAGUUCAGUCUGUUCAUCUGAGUGAAGACUACAGGGAUGGUAUUGCUACCGACGGAGCUAAAGGAAAACCUGAUGCAGUAUCAAAGGAGAUGUCAAGAUGGACAUGAGCAAGAAAAAGAACAGGAAGGGGACAAGGCAGGUGACGAGGAACAAGAUGAUGGUGAUGAUUAAGUUCUUGCACAGUUUUUCUCCUUGUCGAUAAAGCAUUUAAAUCUCCUUACAACUCCCUUCUUUUAAGGAAAAAACUGAAGUGCAAGGUUGUGUAAGAUUUGUUUUUAAAGUGUAUAGUGUCUGGGUUUUGUGUAGUUAACACGACUGAGUGUCUUUAGAUAGCUCUGUCCUGAUGGUGUUCUCAGUAGCCAUGGACUAAUCGUGCCUCGGAAAUGGCAUGUUGUUGGUGUACAGCACAUGUUAUUUACAUGUGGAGUUGGUAUCCUCAUUCCUCUUUCUGUUCUCUGGCCUUGUUCAUACGAAAAUAAUUCUCCUGUGAACCGAGUAUCACUUUGUAAUUAUACAAGUGAAUUGCUGCUAUCUCGUUGACAUUCUCAAUGUUUUUAAAUAAAUACAAAAUUUUAUUAAGAGAAGAAAAUGUGGUUUGUGUGUACAAGAGGGUGUUAUUCAACUGCAGAGAACAAAUAGCAGAUGCUUUCCUCACAUGAGAUAAGAAGAUCUUGAGAGAAGAGAGUGGGUGAAGUCGACCACAGGACAGGGACAAGAGAUGGGCUGAAUAUAAUUGAUGUACAUUGCCUAUGUGUAUAAAAAUAUAACAGCCACUUAUUUUAUACAAACAUACGCUAAUUUAAAAGAAAAGUACACCAUUUCUUAUUUAUCUUCAAACCAUUGGCAUCGACAUAAUAGAAAAAGAGAAUUCUUUUUCUAAGGGCCUUUUGGGGUGUGGUCUCUAUUGCGAAUACCUAGAAGCCAUCUCCACAGAGGGAGAGUUCUAGAGGAUCAUGGGAGGAAGAAGUGUCUGUAGUGUGUCACAGGAGACAGAAGUCUCUGGAGAUUUUGUGGAGGUUGGACUGAGGAAGGGGACAAGUAGUCGAGAUGUGGAAAGGCCACAGAAACACUGCUCAUUUUAAUCCAUGAAGUGCGAGGUGAACAGGAGAAGCCUAGAGACAUAGAUAGGUGCGACUGAGGGGAGAGAAUCUUGGACACGAUAGCUGCUGUCCUCUUUCAGAGAAGUGAAGACAGCUGAGCUGGGCUCCCAUCUCCCCUUGAGCAUGGGGUGUACGGCAGCUUGCUGCAGGCACAGGAGGGCUAACAAGGCCUGGGAAGUUUUCUAUUUCCAUCCUGCGGUCGUCUCUUGGGUGGGAAGCUUCACAAAGUUGGCAUUUCUGCGGGACAGAACUUUAGUCCUUCUGCUUAAUCACUAUCUCUCUCUGUAGUUACCCCCACUCCUUUUAUCCAUAAAUGGGAUUAAUAAUCAUGAUACCCACAAAACAUAUAAUAAGUUUGAGGCUCAAAUGGGUUAUGGGAAGAGCCUUGAAUGGUACCUGGUAGCCAAUAAGCACUAAAUACAAAUUGUUAAUUAAGGUUCAUAAGUAACAUAUGAUGGGUAAUCUUGGUUGUUAACUUGACUCACCAGAUAAGGGGGAACCUCAGUUGAGUUUGGGCUACAUAAGAAAGGAUCCUGAGCCUGGGAGCAGCUAAUACACAGCCUUCCUUCUUCCAUGGUUUCUGUUUCUGUUCCUCCCUAAGUGCCUGCUCUAACUGCUCACAGUGAUUGAUUGUGACCUGGAAGUUUAAGCCAAAUAAACCCUUUUCCUCCCAAG